AAUGGUUGGAAAUCAUUCAUAGAGUGUAAAGGCAUAAGGGAGCUUGACUGCGAGACCUACAAGUCGAGCAGGGUCGAAAGACGGACUUAGUGAUCCGGUGGUUCCGCAUGGAAGGGCCAUCGCUCAACGGAUAAAAGCUACCCCGGGGAUAACAGGCUUAUCUCCCCCAAGAGUUCACAUCGACGGGGAGGUUUGGCACCUCGAUGUCGGCUCAUCGCAUCCUGGGGCUGUAGUCGGUCCCAAGGGUUGGGCUGUUCGCCCAUUAAAGCGGUACGCGAGCUGGGUUCAGAACGUCGUGAGACAGUUCGGUCCCUAUCCGUCGUGGGCGUAGGAAAUUUGAGAGGAGCUGUCCUUAGUACGAGAGGACCGGGAUGGACAUACCUCUGGUGUACCAGUUGUCGUGCCAACGGCAUAGCUGGGUAGCUAUGUGUGGACGGGAUAAGUGCUGAAAGCAUCUAAGCAUGAAGCCCCCCUCAAGAUGAGAUUUCCCAACUUCGGUUAUAAGAUCCCUCAAAGAUGAUGAGGUUAAUAGGUUCGAGGUGGAAGUAUGGUGACAUCUGGAGCUGACGAAUACUAAUCGAUCGAAGACUUAAUCAAAUU
rnacentral:rRNA from 1 species